GCUAGGACUGGUGGCUCAUGCCUGUAGUCCCAGCUACUCGAAAGGCUGAUGCAGGAAGAUUACUUGAGACCAGAAUUUUGGGUUGUAACUUGCAAAGCCGAUUGGGUGUUUGCACUAAGUUCAGCAUCAACACGUUAACUUCCCAGGUGUGGAGGACCAUCAGGUUGCCUGGGGAGGGGUGAACUGACUCAGUUGCGAAUGGAGCGGUCAAAACUCCUGUGAUCAGUAGUGGGAUUGUGCCUGUGAAUAGCCACUGCACUGUAGCCUGGGAAGUUCAACAAAAGACUGA
ensembl:misc_RNA Metazoa_SRP Metazoan signal recognition particle RNA